rnacentral:rRNA from 1 species
GUACACGGUGUGACUAGCAUAUCAAUAAGCGGAGGAAAAGGAACUAACAAGGAUUCCCCUAGUAACGGCGAGUGAAGCGGGAAGAGCUCAAAUUUGAAAUCUUAAAGGGUUUCCCUUUACGAAUUGUAGUUUAAAGAAGUGUUUUCUGUUGAGGUUUUGGUAAAAGUUCUUUGGAAUAGGACAUCAUAGAGGGUGAGAAUCCCGUAUUUGACCUUUACUUUCAACUUUGUGAUACACUUUCAAAGAGUCGGAUUGUUUGGGAAUGCAGUCCAAGAUGGGUGGUAAAUUUCAUCUAAAGCUAAAUAUUGGCGAGAGACCGAUAGCGAACAAGUACCGUGAGGGAAAGAUGAAAAGAACUUUGAAAAGAGAGUUAAACAGCACGUGAAAUUGUCAAAAGGGAAGCGUUUGACACCAGUGUUGUUUUUCUGAAAAUCAAUUAAAGAACUGUUUAUGCUAAGUUGUUUAGACUUUAUCAGCUAACUGUUUAGUUUUGAGCUUUUCUUUAAUGCACUUUUCAGUUAACAAGUCAACAUCAAUUUCUUUUGCUGUAAAAAAGCUUGAGGAAGGUGGCUUGAGAUUCGUCUUAAGUGUUUAUAGCCUCUUGCCUAUGCAGUCGGAGAGAUUGAGGUCUGCAGCGUAGAUCCUUCGGGGCUAGAUGCAUUUGUGCUAAGUUAUAGCAUUUCAUAGACAACUUGUUGACUAUGAUUUGUCUUGUAGCUUACUCGCUUAUGUUAUUUUACCUACGCUUAGGAUGUUGACAGCAGUAUAGACUGU